rnacentral:tRNA from 1 species
UCCUUGGUAGUCCAGUGGUCAUGAUUUGGCACUUUUGCUGCCUUGGCUGAGGUUCAAUUCCUAGCCAAGAAA